UACGGGGGGAGCAAGCGUUGUUCGGAAUUACUGGGCGUAAAGGGCUCGUAGGCGGCCAACUAAGUCGGACGUGAAAUCCCCAGGCUCAACCUGGGAACUGCGUCCGAUACUGGAUGGCUUGAAUUCGGGAGAGGGAUGCAGAAUUCCAGGUGUAGCGGUGAAAUGCGUAGAUAUCUGGAGGAAUACCGGUGGCGAAGGCGGCAUCCUGGACCGACAUUGACGCUGAGGAGCGAAAGCUAGGGGAGCAAACGGG
rnacentral:rRNA from 1 species